rnacentral:tRNA from 2 species
UAGAUAGAAGCCUGUUGGUUUAGGCGUCUGGCUGUUAACCAGGAGUUUAUGGGAUCGAGACCCAUCUGUCUAG